rnacentral:rRNA from 1 species
UACGUAGGUGGCAAGCGUUGUCCGGAUUUACUGGGCGUAAAGGGCGCGUAGGCGGUAGCACAAGUCAGUUGUGAAAUCUCCGGGCUUAACUCGGAAAGGUCAACUGAUACUGUGCGACUAGAGUGCAGAAGGGGCAACUGGAAUUCUCGGUGUAGCGGUGAAAUGCGUAGAUAUCGAGAGGAACACCUGCGGCGAAGGCGGGUUGCUGGGCUGACACUGACGCUGAUGCGCGAAAGCCAGGGGAGCGAACGGG